CUAUGCAGCAUGUGUGCCACUCAAGUGCAACAGUUCACGAGGCAUCCCAGGCCCCGAAAGGAGAAGUUGGAAGAAGAUGCAAGAGCAGCAUGCCAAUGUUGUUGAAUAUGCCAGCACGAAGUUUCCAGGCGCAAGUGUUUCUUAUAUAAAAGAAAGCCUAUUCUCUCCCCUCACAAGGGAAAUAAAAUCACUAUAUAAAAAUGC